AUUGAACGCUGGCGGCAUGCCUUACACAUGCAAGUCGAACGGUAACGGGCCUUCGGGUGCCGACGAGUGGCGAACGGGUGAGUAAUGCAUCGGAACGUACCUUUCAGUGGGGGAUAACGUAGCGAAAGUUACGCUAAUACCGCAUAUUCUGUGAGCAGGAAAGCAGGGGAUCGCAAGACCUUGCGCUGAUUGAGCGGCCGAUGUCAGAUUAGCUAGUUGGUGAGGUAAAGGCUCACCAAGGCGACGAUCUGUAGCGGGUCUGAGAGGAUGAUCCGCCACACUGGAACUGAGACACGGUCCAGACUCCUACGGGAGGCAGCAGUGGGGAAUUUUGGACAAUGGGGGCAACCCUGAUCCAGCCAUGCCGCGUGAGUGAAGAAGGCCUUCGGGUUGUAAAGACGUCUUUCGGUCCGGGAACGGAAAUACG
rnacentral:rRNA from 1 species